rnacentral:snoRNA from 1 species
AAAGCAGGAUUUAGACUAUGAUAUAGCUGUUAAGUGCUGUUGUCAUUUCCUGUGCUCAAAAUAAAGUUGUUUCUUGACCGGGCAUGGUGGCUCAUGCCUGUA